AUUGAACGCUGGCGGCAGGCCUAACACAUGCAAGUCGAGCGGAGCGGCGGACGGGUGAGUAAUGCCUAGGAAUCUGCCUGGUAGUGGGGGAUAAGGCCCGGAAACGGGCGCUAAUACCGCAUAAUAUCAGGUGAGCCUAGGGCGGAUUAGCGUGGUGGUGGGGUAAAGGCCUACCAAGGUGACGAUGCGUAACUGGUCUGAGAGGAUGAUCAGUCACACGGGAACUGAGACACGGGCGAGACGCUGACGGGAGGCAGCAGUUGGGAAUGUUGGACAAUGGGCGAAAGCCUGAGCCAGCCAUGCCGCGUGAGUGAAGAAGGUCUUCGGAUUGUAAAGCACUUUAAGUUGGGAGGCGUUACCAACAGAAUAAGCCCCGGCUAACUUCGUGCCAGCCGCCGCGGUAAUUC
rnacentral:rRNA from 1 species